rnacentral:rRNA from 1 species
CCUACGGGAGGCUGCAGUGGGGAAUAUUGCACAAUGGGGGAAACCCUGAUGCAGCGACGCCGCGUGAAGGAAGAAGGAUUUCGGUAUGUAAACUUCUAUCAGCAGGGAAGAAAAUGAUUGUACCUGACUACGAAGCCCCGGCCAACUACUUGCCAGCAGCCGCGGUAAUACUUAGGGGGCAAGCGUUAGCCGGAUUUACUGGGUGUAAAGGGAGCGUAGGUGGUGAAGCAAGUCAGACGUGAAAGCCCGGGGCUCAACUCCGGGACUGCUUUUGAAACUGUUGAACUAGAUUGCAGGAGAGGUAAGUGGAAUUCCUAGUGUAGCGGUGAAAUGCGUAGAUAUUAGGAGGAACACCAGGGGCGAAGGCGGCUUACUGGACUGUAAAUGACGCUGAGGCUCGAAAGCGUGGGGAGCAAACAGGAUUAGAUACCCUGGUAGUC